rnacentral:misc_RNA from 1 species
CCACUCUCAACGGGAAUCGGGAUGCGGCAUCUGGUCCCUCGUCUCUCAAGGGACGGUGGACCGAAGAUUGGGCUGCCGGCGUACCGCGCCGGACACAGCGCAUGGUGGGCGUCCUCGCUUUAUCAAUGCAGUGCAUCCGGCGCGCAGCUGGCAUUAUGGCCUUUGAACGACCCAACAAACGAAGCGCACGUCGCUUCGACCGCGACCCCAGGUCAGGCGGGACUACCCGCUGAGUUUAAGCAUAUAAAUAAGCGGAGGAGAAGAAACUUACAAGGAUUCCCCUAGUAACGGCGAGCGAACCGGGAGCAGCCCAGCUUGAGAAUCGGGCGGCUGUGCCGUCCGAAUUGUAGUCUGGAGAGGCGUCCUCAGCGACGGACCGGGCCCAAGUCCCCUAGAAAGGGGCGCCUGGGAGGGUGAGAGCCCCGUCCGGCCCGGACCCUGUCGCCCCACGAGGUGCCGUCAACGAGUCGGGUUGUUUGGGAAUGCAGCCCAAAUCGGGCGGUAGACUCCGUCCAAGGCUAAAUACAAGCGAGAGACCGAUAGCGGACAAGUACCGCGAGGGAAAGAUGAAAAGGACUUUGAAAAGAGAGUCAAAGAGUGCUUGAAAUUGCCGGGAGGGAAGCGGAUGGGGGCCGGCGAUGCGCCCCGGCCGUAUGCGGAACGGCUCUUGCUGGUCCGCCGCUCGGCUCGGGGUGUGGACUGUUGUCGGCCGCGCCGGCGGCCAAAGCCCGGGGGCCCUAGGUGCCCCCGGUGGCCGUCGUCGGCACGGCCGGUACCCGUGCGCUGAAAGGCGUGUCCCUCGGGGCACUGCGCUGCAACGGCCUGCGGGCUCCCCAUCCGACCCGUCUUGAAACACGGACCAAGGAGUCUGACAUGCGUGCGAGUCGACGGGUUCUGAAACCUGGGAUGCGCAAGGAAGCUGACGAGCGGGAGGCCCUCACGGGCCGCACCGCUGGCCGACCCUGAUCUUCUGUGAAGGGUUCGAGUUGGAGCACGCCUGUCGGGACCCGAAAGAUGGUGAACUAUGCCUGAGCGGGGCGAAGCCAGAGGAAACUCUGGUG